UGGGGAAUAUUGCACAAUGGAGGGAACUCUGAUGCAGCGACGCCGCGUGAACGAAGAAGGCUUUCGAGUCGUAAAGUUCUUUUAUAUGGGAAGAUAAUGACGGUACCAUAAGAAAAAGCCCCGGCUAACUACGUGCCAGCAGCCGCGGUAAUACGUAGGGGGCUAGCGUUGUCCGGAAUCACUGGGCGUAAAGGGUUCGCAGGCGGAAAUGCAAGUCAGGUGUAAAAGGCAGUAGCUUAACUACUGUAAGCAUUUGAAACUGCAUAUCUUGAGAAGAGUAGAGGUAAGUGGAAUUUUUAGUGUAGCGGUGAAAUGCGUAGAUAUUCGGAGGAACACCAGUGGCGAAGGCGGCUCACUGGACCAUUACUGACGCUGAGGUGCGAAAGCGUGGGGAGCAAACAGG
rnacentral:rRNA from 1 species